rnacentral:rRNA from 1 species
UACGAAGGGGGCGAGCGUUGUCCGGAAUCAUUGGGCGUAAAGCGCGUGUAGGCGGCUCGGUAAGUCUGCUGUGAAAGUCCAGGGCUCAACCCUGGGAUGCCGGUGGAUACUGUCGAGCUCGAGUCCGGAAGAGGCGAGUGGAAUUCCUGGUGUAGCGGUGAAAUGCGCAGAUAUCAGGAGGAACACCAAUGGCGAAGGCAGCUCGCUGGGACGUGACUGACGCUGAGACGCGAAAGCGUGGGGAGCAAACAGG